CGAACGAAAAGGAAUGAGCCCAGCGCAGAACGUUCCGGGGCACUCGCCCUGAGAAUGAAUGUUGCGUUAAGGAUAUUGGCAUACACCCAUGGCAGUUACACUUUGCUAAGUCAGCCUCGAAUGGUUCUCGUGAAGCCGGUAACACGGUGAGACUCCAGGGAGGGUGUUAGACCCGUGUGAAGGUGCAAUCUGCUUGGGCAAGCCGAUAUCCCGAGAGUCGCGUUGUUUGAACAUGCAGCGCUAAGCAGGUCGUAGACUCGAUCUAAGGCUAAAUAUGUCCACAGAACCGAUAGUUAACAAGUACCGUGAGGGAAAGUUGAAAAGCACUCCGUAACGGAGAGUCAAAAGACCGUGAAACCACUCAGAGUAUAAGCCAAUGGUGUCUGGAAGGUCCUGUGCUUACAUCUUGGUGUCAAGGACUCAUGCGAACCUCAGCACUUGCGGGAGCAAUCUCCGUUGCUUUGGUAAGCUUGUCCGCUGAAGCACUCCGUUGACCCACCUGGCUCGUUGUGAGGUGUCCUGAGAGCAAAGCGAAGUGUUAAGAUUGGCUUGGAGUUGGGCGUGGGCGUCUCGAUGCCUUUCGCACUCUCCUUUUCGAGCACUUCUUCAGUUCUAUUCGCACAAAGUGUGGUAGUCUUGGAGUGUGCGCUGCUUGACGCUCUCUGGAACCAUCCUCUGCGACGAAGCUUCAAUGCCUUAGUGAGCGGCCGUCUUCCUCCUCGGGAGUCGGUACAUUGGCGCGGCUUGCACACUGUCGGUGCUCCGCUGUUCAACUCUGGCGCAAGGUGUUACGUCCGAUACCAUUGGUCACGUCUCGAAACACGGGCCAAGGAGUAUAGCGUGUGUGCAAGUCUAAGGGUUCCACAAAACCUGGAGGCGUAGUGAAAGCGAGUUAUGGUGUCUCACUGGACUGAUGGAGAAGGCAGUGAUGCGUGAUCCCGCAAGUCCCGGACUCGUCGUCUGCACUGCUUCGGUUGUGUUAGCGCGAGCACCGCAGAGCACAUACGCUAUGACCCGAAAGAUAGUGAACUAUGCUUGGCGAGGGUGAAGCCCCAGGAAACUGGGGUGGAGGCCCGUAGCCGUUGUGACGUGCAAAUCC
rnacentral:rRNA from 1 species